GACGAACGCUGGCGGCGUGCCUAAUACAUGCGAGUAGAACGCUGAAGGAGGAGCUUGCUUCUCUGGAUGAGUUGCGAACGGGUGAGUAACGCGUAGGUAACCUGCCUGGUAGCGGGGGAUAACUAUUGGAAACGAUAGCUAAUACCGCAUAAGAGUAGAUGUUGCAUGACAUUUGCUUAAAAGGUGCAAUUGCAUCACUACCAGAUGGACCUGCGUUGUAUUAGCUAGUUGGUGGGGUAACGGCUUACCAAGGCGACGAUACAUAGCCGACCUGAGAGGGUGAUCGGCCACACUGGGACUGAGACACGGCCCAGACUCCUACGGGAGGCAGCAGUAGGGAAUCUUCGGCAAUGGACGGAAGUCUGACCGAGCAACGCCGCGUGAGUGAAGAAGGUUUUCGGAUCGUAAAGCUCUGUUGUAAGAGAAGAACGAGUGUGAGAGUGGAAAGUUCACACUGUGACGGUAUCUUACCAGAAAGGGACGGCUAACUACGUG
rnacentral:rRNA from 1 species